GAUGAACGCUGGCGGCGUGCCUAAUACAUGCAAGUCGAGCGAACAGAUAAGGAGCUUGCUCCUUUGAAGUUAGCGGCGGACGGGUGAGUAACACGUGGGUAACCUACCUAUAAGACUGGGAUAACUUCGGGAAACCGGAGCUAAUACCGGAUAACAUUUAGAACCGCAUGGUUCUAAAGUGAAAGAUGGUUUUGCUAUCACUUAUAGAUGGACCCGCGCCGUAUUAGCUAGUUGGUAAGGUAACGGCUUACCAAGGCGACGAUACGUAGCCGACCUGAGAGGGUGAUCGGCCACACUGGAACUGAGACACGGUCCAGACUCCUACGGGAGGCAGCAGUAGGGAAUCUUCCGCAAGGGGCGAAAGCCUGACGGAGCAACGCCGCGUGAGUGAUGAAGGGUUUCGGCUCGUAAAACUCUGUUAUUAGGGAAGAACAAAUGUGUAAGUAACUGUGCACAUCUUGACGGUACCUAAUCAGAAAGCCACGGCUAACUACGUG
rnacentral:rRNA from 1 species